GACGAACGCUGGCGGCGUGCCUAACACAUGCAAGUCGAACGGGGUAACGAGAGCUUGCCCUUGUUACUUAGUGGCGAACGGGUGAGUAACGCGUGAGGAACCUGCCUUUCAGUGGGGGACAACAGUUGGAAACGACUGCUAAUACCGCAUAACAUAUUCGGACCGCAUGAUCUGAAUAUCAAAGCUUUACGUGCUGAAAGAUGGCCUCGCGUCUGAUUAGCUAGUUGGUGGGGUAACGGCCCACCAAGGCGACGAUCAGUAGCCGGUCUGAGAGGAUGAACGGCCACAUUGGGACUGAGAUACGGCCCAG
rnacentral:rRNA from 1 species